GAGUUUGAUCCUGGCUCAGAAUGAACGCUGGCGGCGUGCUUUACACAUGCAAGUCGAGCGAGGCGUGUAGCAAUACACAGUCGAGCGGCGAACGGGUGAGUAACGCGUGGAUUAUCUGCCCUGAGGUGGGGGAUAACCCGGGGAAACUCGGGCUAAUACCGCAUAGGACCGUGAGGUCAAAGGGGGGUCGCAAGAUCUCUCGCCAUAGGAGGAGUCCGCGUCCGAUUAGCUAGUUGGUAGGGUAAUGGCCUACCAAGGCGACGAUCGGUAGCCGGCCUGAGAGGGUGAUCGGCCACACUGGAACUGAGACACGGUCCAGACUCCUACGGGAGGCAGCAGUGGGGAAUUUUGCGCAAUGGGCUAACGCCUGACGCAGCAACGCCGCGUGGAGGAUGAAGGUCCUUGGAUUGUAAACUCCUGUCAGCAGGGAAAAAGCAACUUGGCCUCAUACGCUAAGAAGUUGAUUGUACCUGCAGAGGAAGCCCGGCUAACUCUGUGCCAGCCGCCGCGGUAAC
rnacentral:rRNA from 1 species